UACGUAGGGUGCGAGCGUUGUCCGGAAUUAUUGGGCGUAAAGGGCUCGUAGGCGGUCUGUCGCGUCGAAAGUGAAAACCCAGGGCUUAACCCUGGGCCUGCUUCCGAUACGGGCAGACUAGAGGUAUGCAGGGGAGAACGGAAUUCCUGGUGUAGCGGUGAAAUGCGCAGAUAUCAGGAAGAACACCCGUGGCUAAGGCGGCUCUCUAGUACGUGACUGACGCUGAGACGCGAAAGCGUGGGGAGCGAACAGG
rnacentral:rRNA from 1 species